AGCAGACCAGAGACCAAAAGAUACCACAAUCCUGCCAGCAAACAUCCAGCAAACACCGACGCCAGACGAAUUCGAUUAAAGUUAAGCCAUAACAAGCCGGAGACGAGCAGUGAGCCUGGCCUGGGUUCCCAAGCUCAGCCAGCCACAAAUAAUAUAACAAUUUAAAUAACAAGCCAUGGCCAAGACUCCUAGCCAGCUAGUCAGCCGGGCAGCAAACACCAGGCGCGUUAGUUAGAUAGAUUGAUCUACAUGUACACGACAACACAGAGCUGGCAAGUUGGGAAGUUGGAAGUUGGAAGUCGGGUCUCGAGCCCGGAACGACUCCUUGCCGACCAUGUUGCCCAGCCAUUCCAUCCUGGCCAAAACGAAGCGAACCUGGCUGCUGGUUACAUGGCACACCAAGCUGGCUUUGGCCAAGAGCAUGUCAAAACAAAAUAACAUCUUUAGCGCGC
ensembl:ncRNA lncRNA:CR44554 long non-coding RNA:CR44554